GAUGGCCUCUUCAUCGAUAAGGGUCUAGCCGCCCUGGAUCCCAUCUUUUUUGUUUGUUUGUUUGUUUGUUUGUUUGUUUGUUUGUUUUACUAGCAAUACUAGUUGAGGAAGCGCCAACAAAUUUGGCUGGUGGUGCUUAUCCCUUAGGCAAUCGGGGUUGCCGUCAACGAUUCGAGCGCUCUUCUUUCCAUGAUCAACGUAGAGCUCCAUAUUAGGUGGUGCUACGGUGGAGUCCGCAGUUUAGAUUGAGGAGGUAGAAUUGUUUUGUGCGGCGGAAGUGGUUCCUCUUUCCCAUGGGGUUCUUGCACUUUGAAUUGUGAAGUGGACAUCGUUAAUAGACAUUAUUUUUUGUCUUCCUCUCGGAUCUGUCUCAGAUCUGGUUGUUAUGCAAUUUCCAGUUGGUUGCGGAAUUUAAGUUUUUGUCAACAUUCUUUCCUUUCCGGAGUUGGUGUUGCAACAAUCUGGACUUGCUACAAGGGAUGGAAUUUGGCUUUGGUGGACGCCCAGCAGGGUGCAGACGUCCAUAGUAGCAGGAUGAAGGCUCCUCACCAGGAAAUAAGGGUGGAUGUUGAAAGCCCUGAGGAACAUGGCUAGAGUGAGUGGAGUGCAACAGAAAUCUGAGCCCUCCUCAAAGUGUGCCCUUUGUGGUGGAUUAAGGUAGUCAACGUUGAACUUCUACAUUAGACAAAUUAGGUUAGAUUUGAAUGAACUUAGAAUAGGAUUUAAUUAGGUCAAAAUUGGAUGUGUUCCUAUUGGAUGAAAAUUAAAUAAAGGAUGAUGUAUUUAAGCAUA